rnacentral:lncRNA from 1 species
CUGGUACGCCUUAGGCAUUGCAUCAGUGUUGAAGGCAGGCCGUGCUAGGCGCUUUGUUCGCUCAGAAGGCCGGGGCUCGUCUGCGCUUGAGGCACUUCGAGGUCCGAGGUCCGCGGGGAGAGCAGGGCAGGCCCGCGGAUUCCGACCCCCAGCGCCGCGGGCACGCGUCACCACGGAGGCGGGUCGGAGCUAUUACUGCCAAGCCAGGGGCAGGCGACGCCCGGCGGGGCCGCAGGGCUCGGAAAGCUUCGCAGAGGCUUGGACUUCGGCUGGGUCUGCAGAAUUCGACUGAAGGAGAAGGUGAAAGGAGGUUCCAGGCGGAGCCACGAGUCCCCUCUAGCCUAGCCCGUCACUGCAGAGAGGAAAGGGUCAGGUGGGGAAACCCAGCCCCUCUCAGCAGGGCGUCUCCCGGGUCCGAGCUCCUCUGUUCCCCGGCGCCACCAGAGUGACCUAGGGCUGCGCAUCUCUGCAAGGGUGGGGCCGGGUGAGGCCCAGUGGACGGGCGCGCCCCGUGCGGAAAGGCGCGUGCAGGUUGGUUCAAGGCCUCAAUCGAAGCCUCCUCCUCCUCCUUCGCUUUUUGGUUCAGGGCUCCAGAGGGACUUCCUGGGCACCUCCUCCCAAUCCGAGGAGCCCGAGCCCCGGAAGGCCAGCCGAUUCUCCGUGACCAGACAGUUCAGUUCCACGCGAAGGGGAAGCAUCCUCGGAACCGCCCGGGCAACGCAGGUUCCGCGGGGCGGGCGCCGCCUCCCACCAGACAGGCCCGGGGCGGUCAGAGCCCGCCUGGCAGGGAGCGCACCGACAGCUCCGGGAGAGCCUGGCAACCCUCGGGGUGAGAACCCAAACUUGAAGAGCCAGCAGUCCUGAAGAUCUCCACCUGGGCGCGGAGCCAGGCCCAGCGCGCAGCGCGCAACGCGGAGGUGGUCUUGGAGGAACAUUAGCAUUCUGUGAUGAUGGCUGGGUUCACGCUUUCUAAAUCACUGCCUGAGGAUCAUCCACCGCCGGAGUUUUAAGCACUGACUGCCGCUUACCAGCGUGUGACAAGUCACUGACCUCUCCGUGCUGUAGCUUCUUCAUCUCUAAAAUGGGACUAAUAAGCCUGCCUACCUAAUAAAGUGC